CCAAUAGCGUAUAUUAAAGUUGUUGCAGUUAAAAAGCUCGUAGUUGAAUUUCGGGAUUAGUACGUCGGUCGUGCCUUCGGUACGUACUGGUGUUACUGAUUCCUACCUUCUGACGAACCAUCAUGUCAUUAAUUUGGUGUGGCGGGGAAUCAGGACAGUUACUUUGAAAAAAUUAGAGUGUUUAAAGCAGGCUCGCGCUUGAAUACAUUAGCAUGGAAUAAUGAAAUAGGACGUUGACCCUAUUUUGUUGGUUUCUAGGAUUGACGUAAUGAUUAAUAGGGAUAGUUGGGGGCAUUAGUAUUCAAUUGUCAGAGGUGAAAUUCUUGGAUUUAUUGAAGACUAACUACUGCGAAAGCAUUUGCCAAGGAUGUUUUCAUUAAUCAAGAACGAAAGUUAGGGGAUCGAAGACGAUCAGAUACCGUCGUAGUCUUAACCAUAAACUAUGCCGACUAGGGAUCGGAUGAUGUUAUUUUUAAUGACUCAUUCGGCGCCUUACG
rnacentral:rRNA from 1 species